UGCGGGAUAGAGCAGUUUGGUAGCUCGUUUGGCUCAUAACCAAAAGGUCACAGGUUCAAAUCCUGUUCCCGCUA
rnacentral:tRNA from 1 species